UAUAUUAUGUGAUAUCCUAAAGCCGAAAAGCCACCCUAUUAGUAACCUCGUUUAUUGCACCUGUUCAGUCUCCCUUACGUCUACAAGGAUAACAACAGCUUGCUUUGUUUCUGUGGGCGGUGAAACAUAAAAAGUCAAACCACAACCAACAACCCUAAUCAAUCUUCCUGUCAUGUUUGGUCUCAACUUCUUCAAAAGUCUUCCCAAAAAAGAACAAACAUUGUUCAGCAGCAAAAAACCAAAUCCUGUAACGUUACCGUCUAGCCCCUCUAGGAGAAAGAACAGAUUUUGAAUGAUUAGAAACAGAAUCAACAGUACUCACUUCUUGAUAGUGUGGCAGGUAUUUCCGUCAACAAAAGAAUUUAGGUUUCCCAGAGAACGCCCUUUUACUUUCACCCUAAGUAGAAUUGCAUUGAUGUUUACUGGUAUUCACCCAUGGACAAUUAUAUGUGGUUGUAUCCCGAGCAACAGCAAGAGCGGGAUUAACAAUACCGAAUGCUGACGAUGACACGGACGACCCCACAUUCAUUAAAAAUAUUGUUUACAAAGAAGUUUUCCAGAAUGUAUGUCCGAGAGUUGCAGAAAACUAGGUAUUUCACAAAUAGUCUCAAUUAGCAACAAGGAUUACUAUCUUAUAACAAGUGGUUAGUUCAUUAUAAUCAGUUUAGAAUGCCAUGUUACCAGAUACAGAUGACGAUGCAUAAUGGAGAUGAACUGCCAAUCCCGAUGAGCAUAACAACAUUUAUGCAGCUCUGUGGCUUCAACUAUCCAGAAAAUGAAGAAGCGGUUCCAACGGAAAAGUGCUAAUAAGUACUUUCACUAUAAAUAACUCGAAAUUAAUGUGGGCCUGAAUUGAUAAUUGCUAUAAAGUACAUUAUACCUGUUGUAAUGAAUUGGACAGAUGACGUGGAAGUGAAGGCGAAAAAUAUUUCACUGUU